CUCUUUAAUCUCUGAGCAUCUUCACCAUAAAAGAGUGUCAGGAGUAUGAGUGAGUUGAAUAGUCUAGAAGAAUCUAUGUAUGAAUAUUCGAUUGAGUCGUUACGUCUUUCUUCCACAAAUUCUCAUUCACUACAUCCUCUACUCUCUUUGGUUCUCUGAACCUAUAGCUAUGAAUAGGUGAGUUUGCCUCCACCAAAUUUAUCAUUCCACUGCUCACAAUAAUAUUAUUCCAAAAGCUUCUGCAUAACAGAAUUGCUAAUUCAUCUCUCCUCAUUGCUGAUUUGAAAGCUCCGGCGUCGUAGCAAUUCCGAGCGUAGCUAGAAGUUUCUUACUGUGUUUAUGACUGUGGGGUUUUUUUUCGGUAUCGUACGCUGCAAGGUCCGGCGUAUCUAAGCAGGAGUUCGAAGUUAAGAAGCAUAUGAACAGUCUAAAUAAACUUGUUGUCAAGAGCGUUCAAGUAGGUACACAUUGUGUCGAGAAAACAAGGUGGGAUCUCGAAUCCAGUAGCAGGUGAAGCUAUGGUUCUGUGUUUUAACAGAUUUUCGCGAACGCUACCAUCCCGCACAAAACGCAGUUCAACUUCUCGGACACGUAUCGAGAAUGAUACUGGAGUAUUGGAAUCAACGGCAAGCGUCUUCGAUUCAUAGUUUAGAGUCUGCUUCUAUGAGAUGAUCCCGUCCAGAUAUCGAGUGGAGAUGUCCGUUACUGAUGAAACCACUGAGGGCCUGUUCGUCUGUUUCGAUGGGGUUAUGACAAAACUGCAUAGCAUUAGAGCCAAUGAAGCUGGCCAUCUUCUGGCUGGCGAAGGAGUGAAACCGGAAGAAACUCAGGCUCCUCCCUUUGUUGCAGCAAUGGAAGGUAAAACCUACAUAUUCCAGGUGAGAGUUAGUUCCUACAACUUCAAAGCAAAUCACCAAACCCUUACAAUCUCCCGGUGUAAAACGGGACGAGGUGAAGCGUUUAAAAAGGGAGGCUGCUGAGACAGAAAGGAAUCACAUAGAAGAAUAAGAAGGCCCGAGAGAGAACAGAGCGUCAAGCUGCAGUGAGAGAGAGAAAGAAGCUGCUAGACUGAGAAUAAUGAGGCAAGAACAGGCACUUCAUCUUGACGGAUCUGAGAAAGGACCUGAUGCUACACAUGAGUCAGCGGAAGUUGUUUGAUUCUUUGUUGAUGCUAAGAUGAAUUCUCUGUUAUCAUUCAUUCUGACAUGCUUGAAGAAGAUCUGAACAAAGGUUUACAACUUUGGAUCAAUCUUCCAUCUGACGAGAAAAUAAAAUAAACAAACUACCAAAAACUGCUGGUUGUUGACGUACCAAAAGCAAAAGAAAAUGGUGUCCAAGUUGGUCAUCGCUGGGGAACCAAUGGGAAUUCAAUCCCUGUUUUGUACACCAACACUGUUCCUCGAAUUUGCUCUCGAUCCGGGAGCUCAGCUCCACCAUGACGUUCCGGAAUCGUGGAAAGUGUUUGCUUACGUUAUAGAAAGCAGAUCCAUUUUCCGGGUCCUCUGAACGCUUCCUAUGUUUCAGCACUGAACGGUUGUUGUGUUCGGUCAAUGCAAUGAUGGAGUUAGCGUGUGGAAAGAAAUUGAGGUUUGUUAUUAUAGCUGGAGAACCGGUGGUUCAGUAGGUCCGUUCAGUAUGACUUCGAAGUGAAUCAUUUUAACUUAAUAUUGAGUCUCUUUUUCACACCUUUGCUGAAGCCGUUAUAUUAUCUUCUCUGUUGAAUUUUCCUGUAAACAAUUUGAAUUUGUUUUGCAAUUACAAAACCAUAAUCAUGUCCUUUUUUCUCAA